GAUGAACGCUGGCGGCGUGCCUAAUACAUGCAAGUCGAGCGAACAGACGAGGAGCUUGCUCCUCUGACGUUAGCGGCGGACGGGUGAGUAACACGUGGAUAACCUACCUAUAAGACUGGGAUAACUUCGGGAAACCGGAGCUAAUACCGGAUAAUAUAUUGAACCGCAUGGUUCAAUAGUGAAAGACGGUUUUGCUGUCACUUAUAGAUGGAUCGGCGCCGCAUUAGCUAGUUGGUAAGGUAACGGCUUACCAAGGCAACGAUGCGUAGCCGACCUGAGAGGGUGAUCGGCCACACUGGAACUGGGACACGGUCCAGACUCCUACGGGAGGCAGCAGUAGGGAAUCUUCCGCAGUGGGCGAAAGCCUGACGGAGCAACGCCGCGUGAGUGAUGAAGGUCUUCGGAUCGUAAAACUCUGUUAUUAGGGAAGAACAAAUGUGUAAGUAACUAUGCACGUCUUGACGGUACCUAAUCAGAAAGCCACGGCUAACUACGUG
rnacentral:rRNA from 1 species